rnacentral:rRNA from 1 species
UACGUAGGGGGCAAGCGUUAUCCGGAUUUACUGGGUGUAAAGGGAGCGCAGACGGCAGUGCAAGUCUGGAGUGAAAGCCCGGGGCCCAACCCCGGAACUGCUCUGGGAACUGUGCGGCUAGAGUACUGGAGGGGCAGGCGGAAUUCCUAGUGUAGCGGUGAAAUGCGUAGAUAUUAGGAGGAACACUAGUGGCGAAGGCGGCCUGCUGGACAGUAACUGACGUUGAGGCUCGAAAGCGUGGGGAGCAAACAGG